rnacentral:tRNA from 1 species
CUUGAUGCUACAGUAGGGCAAGUUAUUGUAAUGGAAGUACAGACGGGAGAAAUUAAGGCUUCUGUUGGUUCUGAUUCCAUUCUUCAAGA